rnacentral:lncRNA from 1 species
AAUAUCACCUUUAAGCAUCAGAUUAAACUAAGAAGAACAUCAUUAGUUUAGUGGGAUGAGGAGACGCUUCUUUCUUCCUGAUGAUUGGAAGUAGUACUAAAUCCAGAAAACUCAAAUGACCUCCCAGGGAACAAGGAAGAAUUUUCACUUCAAAUAUUGUCUGUGGUAUGUAGAGAAUAUCAAAUACUUUAGGCAGUUCUUGCAGAAGGAUUCAGAAGCAGGGGGCUGGACACUAUUCUGCUUCAAUCUUAUUGCUACUUUCCUGAGAAGGAUCUGCAAGUCCGAACGCUCUGCGCCGGGUUACAACUACUGUGCAAACCUCCUAGUCUUGCUUGAAAGGGACAGAUGGAGAGGUCUGACUUUUGAGGACAACGACAGAAGAAAGAACAUAUUAAAUCCUGCACACCGGUGCAAAGCUCAAGGCUUGCUAAAAGUUUUCUUACUGAAGAGACUAUACAAUACUUCCACAGGGAAACAGGAAAUACAGCAAAACUCAACAAAAGAGAAAAGCUGUCAUUAUCAAAAGACAAUUUAAUUUAAAGCAUAUUAAUAAAUGCACCAUGAACUCCCA